rfam:Triticum aestivum genome assembly, contig: Triticum_aestivum_CS42_TGACv1_scaffold_224360_3B
GAUGUACUCCCUCCGUCCGGAAAUACUUGUCAUCAAAAUGGAUAAAACGGGAUGCAUCUAGACAUAUUUUAGUUCUAGAUACAUAUUUUUUUUAUCUAUUUUGAUGACAAGUAUUUUCGGACGGAAGGAGUAUCUA